rnacentral:misc_RNA from 1 species
GAAGGACAAUGUGCAUAUCUACAAAAGCAAAUCUACAGAAACAAAAUCUAAAUUGUACAAAGGGUUUGAAACAGAGUCAAGGCAGCUGCACCUGAUCAUCCUAAUCAUCUUCAGCAAAAUACUUAUCUUCUGCAUCAUGGCUGGCUUCCCUAAGCCAGUGAUCAUCCAAGGUCUCAUCAUCAUCUAUUUUUGAGUAAUCCAAGUGUUGAUGAUCUUCCCCAGAAAGAAAUUUUUGGUGCAUGAUGUAGGUAAAUUGAUUCAUCAUGUCUUCCUUCUCUUCUUGGGAUAUAAUUGCCCCCUCAUUGUGCUGCUCUCUGCUCAGCUGCGCACCAUUCGUAUUGAUCAUCUCAGUGGAGUGCACACCACCAUGAGCCUUCUUCACUUCUUCAUUCUCUUCUUCCUCUUCCUCUUCCUCUUCCUC